GGGUAGAAAGGUAUAGUGCGGGGAUUGAAGUGGAGCGCCCCCGGAUAAGAAAGCUUAAUGGUGGUUACUAGGAGUUAUAGUGUCCGCUACAAAUCAUACUGAAAUGUUGCUAGAAAGAUUGAUAGAGAGAGCUUAGAGACUCAGAAAAUGCUUAAGCUUGCUGCUGGAUAGUGAAUGAACAUAGAUGCAAGACGGACGGGCAACCUUUUGUAUACUGAGUGGGGAAGAUUAUCUUGAUGCGUUUGAAAAACUUUUGAGGUUGGACUUGCAAGGGAAGCAGGUAUAAUGCGGUCCAUGUCUUACGUUUAAAUGUCAUACGAACGAGAUCAUGUCUGAAAUUUAUGAAACUGCAAAACUCAUGGCUUUAAACGCUCACAAGCGAAUUAUACGAUGAAGUUACAAGGUGAAAAAACUGUAAGAAAGGGCCACCUUGCUGUCACUACAAAGAUUUUUGAAGUGGCUCCCUCACUGCACAUGGUGGCGCUCAGAUAAACCAGAGGAGACACUCUGGUAUUAUACAACGUACGUAUCACAACAACAGUUGAAAGUUUCCUACACUAAGGUUAGUAGAUGGGUAGGUCAAGCGGAAUGGGUCAAAGUGGGUGUGGAUUAGAAUUCAUCAGAUAAAAGAUGGUUGUUGGGGUGCCUUUUUUACAUAUGAAACUCCACAUGCAUAUGUUGGAUGGCUUUGGAUUAAUGCAUAGAUAAAGUAGAAUAUAUGAAGUCAAUUUACAAGCUGAACAUGAGACUCCAACUAUGAUAUUACUCGAUAUAGUACGCCAAAUGUUUCAUUUUUCUAACAAUUGGGAUCACUGACGGGCUCCCAAAACAGGCUAACUUUGAGGUAUCCACUUUGCUUGGUCGUAUUCCAUCUGCCGUUGGGUAUCAAGUAUCAACCAGCUUUGUAACAAAUCUUAGGCCUAGCAUAUCACAGCAACUACAAAAGGGUUCCAUUACAUCUGUCCAAUGUCCCAUACUCUGAUGAUUUGACGGGUCCAUCCCCUACCACUACAUUUGCUCAUUUCGAUGUCACAGGCCCACAACUAUGUUAUCUCGACAGGUUUUGUUUCUUCCUUGAUUAAUUCAGGGUGGCAAAAUGGGUCACUUAGGUCUGAU